rnacentral:rRNA from 1 species
GGAGGAAUAUUGGGCAAUGGGCGAAAGCCUGACCCAGCAACGCCGCGUGGAGGAUGAAGGCCUUCGGGUUGUAAACUCCUUUUCUGCGGGAAGAGAAAGGACGGUACCGCAGGAAUAAGCACCGGCUGACUACGUGCCAGCAGCCGCGGUAAAACGUAGGGUGCGAGCGUUAUCCGGAUUUAUUGGGCGUAAAGCGCACGCAGGCGGUUCUGCAAGUCGGACGUGAAAGCCCCUGGCUCAACUGGGGGAGGUCGUUCGAAACUGUGGGACUUGAGGUCGGGAGAGGGGCGUGGAAUUCCCGGUGUAGUGGUGGAAUGCGUAGAUAUCGGGAGGAACACCAGUGGCGAAAGCGGCGCCCUGGCCCGCACCUGACGCUGAGGUGCGAAAGCGUGGGGAGCGAACGGG